rnacentral:rRNA from 1 species
GGAGGGGCCCAAGCGUUGAUCGGAAUCACUGGGCUUAAAGCGUGCGCAGGCGGAAGCGUUAGUGUCUUGUGAAAUCCCGCGGCUCAACCGCGGAACUGCAGGGCAUACUACGUUUCUUGAGGUCGGUAGGGGGUGCCGGAACUCUAGGUGUAGCGGUGAAAUGCGUAGAUAUCUAGAGGAACACCAAAGGUGAAGACAGGCACCUGGGCCGAUUCUGACGCUCAUGCACGAAAGCGUGGGGAGCAAACAGGAUUAGAUACCCUGGUAGUCCACGCCGUAAACGAUGUGCACUAGGUCCGGGAGGUACUGACACCAUCCGGGCCGGAGUAAAAACAUUAAGUGCACCGCCUGGGGAGUACGGUCGCAAAGGCUA